CAAUUUAAGAUCUCACAUUACCUUUCACAGACACCUGAAAUCCAACAGCAAUACUGCGGGGCCUAAUCUACUUACCACGUAAAUUAAAACUCCAAGAUAAUUUCAGAUAUCAUUUCUCAUAAAGCUGGGUUUUUUUGUACUAAUAGUUAUGGUCCGAGCCAUGGGUCCUCGUUACUGUACAUUAACUAAUUUCAUCUGAAUUUUAUGAGGGGUUGAUUUUAUAAUAAUUGAUGCAAAAGAUUUCAAAAGGUUAUAUCCCCAGAGAAGACUUACACCACAGAGCAAGCAUAGCAUCCUUUCUUGCUACUCUCACGAAUUAAGAAUGCACCAUCAGGUUUCCCAUAAAGCAAGUCCUCUGCUUGUACUCGAUUGAUAUCCUCAACAAACCAGGUUUUCUCAUCAUAAUGGGGCAGGUUUUCAUCUUCCUCAUUGAUAAAAUAGUUCCUAAAAAUUAAAUAUUAGUAUAUUAUUCUAACAAGUUACUUCUAUCUAAAAGCAAAUUCAUAAAUAAAACACUCUUCUAAAUCUUUAAACCACAAAUAACAAAGCAAAAUUGCAAUUAUUUGGGUGUUAACUUCAUUACUUGCUAUGGUGCAUAAAGCAAAGAAUUCAUGUUUCAUCCAAUAAGCUGAAAUAUGAACAUCUGAAUAAAAGUGCUUUUACAUCCAGAUUUUGGGUAGCUAUACUCAAAGUAGCUUACACAUCCAGAUUUUGAGUUCAGAAGCAGGUCUCUGAACUCCAGUGCCUAUAGGGUACCUUCAGGCAAUUCAAUUCAAAAGAUAGUCAAAGUUCUAGAUUCAAUGUCCUCAAGUGACAAUGACAACCAAUAUUUACCACGUAUAAACAAGGCGCAUGUCUUAUAUUGAUAACAAAGCCCUCUGACAGAAAGGUAUAGAGAGAACUUACUCAUCAGCAUCCUCAUUCUUAAUUCCCAGCCAGACAUUCAGGCGUUUCUGUCUCACUCCUUUGUGAUUGAGCCAUCUGCCAGAGGAAAGACACCAGUGUCAGUAUCCAUGCAAACUCUGACUGGACAAAGUAGGUAUGUCUGAGCCAACUAAACUUCUAGAGUCUAGACACCUCUUGUUUUUCCUAAUCCCACAGAAUGGGCAAAGAUUUCCCAAAAUUAGUCUCUCGAUUACUUUUCUUUCAACUACUAUCAAGAUGAACUGAUCUUUUCCAGAAAAAGGCAGAAACAUAGAGGGCUACUUGAAAUUAGGCCCUUCACUUUUCAUUUUUCUUUUCUGGAGGAUGUGCCACCACAAGCACACACAUACUCGCACUCACAGUGGGACAUUUGUUUCUGAAAACAUUAGGUUAGCAUGGUGUCACAUUUGCAAUCUCCACUAAGCCUGAGGACACACUUCCUGUGUGACCUACUGAAUUGAGUUUAAUAUUUUAACUAAAAACUUCAAGAUCUAUUUUUGCAUUUAAGCAGGCCACAAGAAAUUCAGGGUGGCAAUCUGAGUAAUUAAUAUGAGUGAACUUCAUUACCAAGAAAAUCAUAGUAUCCAAGCCGGGCGCGGUGGCUCAUGCCUAUUUUAUAUUUGUAUUUGUUUAUGUCUGUCUCCCCAAUAAAAUGUAAGCUGCUGUAAUGAAAGUGGUCUGUCCUGUUCAUGGCUAUGUUGCCAAUUAUUAAAACAGCACAUGCACAUAGACAUUCAAUUGUCAGUAAAUAUUUGCUGGUGGGCUGCUUUUAACAAAAUCUUCACAACUCCAGGAUCAUCCUGUAUCUCCCCAAGUAUACAAGAUAACUUGGCAUCACACCUAAUUUUAAAGUUCUGUUAGACAGAUUUCACAGUCUUUCUCAGUAAGAAUUGCCCUU
rnacentral:lncRNA from 1 species